ACAUACCGUGGAAUAUUAUUCAGCCACGAAAAGGAAUGAGAACUGACACAUGCUACAACAUGGAUGAACCUGGAAAACAUUAUGCUAAGUGAAAUAAGCCAGACAUAAAAGGACAAGUAUUGUAUGAUUCCAUUUAUAUGAAAUAUUCAGAAUAGGCAAAUCCAUAAAUAGAGAAAGUAGAUUGGUAGUUGUCAGGGGAGAGAGAAAAGGGGUUAUGGGGAGAGACAGCUUACUGGGACGGGGUCUCCUUUUGGGUGACGAAAAUGCUCUGGAACGGGAUAGAGGUGAUGGUUGCACAACAUUGUGAAUGUACUUGAUGGCACUGAAUUGUUCACUUUAAAAUGGUUAAUGUCAUGUUAUGCAAAUUUCCCCUUGAUAGACACACACACACACACACACAUCCCCACCCCAUCCAUAAGGAACUUUUAUGGAGAUGACAGAUCGGGGCUCAAAGCACUGAUUUGAGUUGGGCCACGUUGUAAAUUACAAACAAAAGAAAUGCUAAUCCUUAAAGGUCUCUGUAUCUUUCAGAACCCGGCAGCUUCAACCCCAAAGCUGUCUUCUCCCAGGUGGGCUUAUCCAGAAAGAACCCUGACCCAUCAGGAAAGCAUUUACGAGCCUAGACCGGACAAGAGCAGCCUCAUUGAAGAUGAGGAGUUUGAGUAAGACUUCUCCAACAUGCUUGGAUGGGGUGGGGAGAAAGGAUAAACCGGGAGUGAACGGUCCCUGAGGUUGUGACCCAUUCAGGGAUAUGACGACAGCGCCCUGCAUCCCACACUCUCCAUCGGGGGACACGUUUUUCCAAGCCUCCCUCAGCCCCGUCCAGGCCUCUAUCCUGGCCCCCUGGCCGGGCGCCCUAACUGUGCGCUGUUCCUAUAGGCUGUUCCUACAGGACAUUUCCAGCUCUCCCCAGGUUCUGACUGACAAGGAGACCACGGACGUCCUCAAGGUGGGCGACUCAGAUGGAGACUGCAAGAUGGGAGUAGAUGAAUUCCAAACACUGGUAAAGGCUUAGCCAGCUUUCGACGCAAGGAUGACCUCAAGAUUUGUCCCUGGUCCCCCUCCUGCUUCUGGGCUCAUCUCUCCAUCCUUUUCCGAUGCUCCGUUGCAUCAGUGAAACAACCGCACCAUCAGGACGCGUCGCCAAGUAGGCGUUUGGGGUGACAUAGCCACAUGUCCCAAUAGGGGCAGAGCAAAAGGCAAGGGACCGUGGCAACUCACAAUAUGGCCUCUCAGCUAGGAGGUGAAGAAAUAAGGCCCAAAGCAGCCUACAAAUGGAUGUGCCCCUUUUUUUCUGUGCUGACCCUCGUGGCUGCCUGGCCUCCCACGACAGGGUGUCUUUGUUCACUGGAUCCAGUGGAGAGUUUGAUCUGCCUGGGAUUUCCGGGAUUAAAAGGCAGCACAAAGAACUUGAGGGAACUGCCCCUUAAUGCCAGAAAAGAACAAUUUCACUAAACAUCGAGAUAGUUAAAAAAUAAAGUUAACCUGCAUGCACUUGAAAAUAUUGAG
rnacentral:lncRNA from 1 species